GGUAAGAUGGCUGAAUUAGGUGGUAGACUGUAAAUCUAUUAAUGAGAAGCUUUUCUCUCUUAUCA
rnacentral:tRNA from 1 species